rnacentral:rRNA from 1 species
GACGAACGCUGGCGGCGUGCUUAACACAUGCAAGUCGAACGUGAUUUUUGUGGAAAUUCUUUCGGGAAUGGAAAUGAAAUGAAAGUGGCGAACGGGUGAGUAACACGUGAGCAACCUACCUUACACAGGGGGAUAGCCGUUGGAAACGACGAUUAAUACCGCAUGAGACCACAGAAUCGCAUGAUAUAGGGGCCAAAGAUUUAUCGGUGUAAGAAGGGCUCGCGUCUGAUUAGCUAGUUGGAAGGGUAAAGGCCUACCAAGGCGACGAUCAGUAGCCGGUCUGAGAGGAUGAACGGCCACAUUGGAACUGAGACACGGUCCAAACUCCUACGGGAGGCAGCAGUGGGGAAUAUUGCACAAUGGGGGGAACCCUGAUGCAGCGACGCCGCGUGAGCGAAGAAGGUUUUCGAAUCGUAAAGCUCUGUCCUAUGAGAAGAUAAUGACGGUAUCAUAGGAGGAAGCCCCGGCUAAAUACGUG